GAUGAACGCUAGCGGCAGGCCUAAUACAUGCAAGUCGAGGGGUAACAUUAGUACUUGUACUAGAUGACGACCGGCGCACGGGUGCGUAACGCGUAUGCAACCUACCCAUAACAGGAAGAUAGCCCGGAGAAAUUCGGAUUAAUAUUCCAUAGUACCACAAGAUGGCAUCUGAAAGUGGUUAAAGAUUUAUCGGUUAUGGAUGGGCAUGCGUAUGAUUAGCUAGUUGGUGAGGUAACGGCUCACCAAGGCGACGAUCAUUAGGGGGUCUGAGAGGAUGAUCCCCCACACUGGCACUGAGAUACGGGCCAGACUCCUACGGGAGGCAGCAGUAGGGAAUAUUGGUCAAUGGAGGCAACUCUGAACCAGCCAUGCCGCGUGCAGGAUGACGGCCUUCUGGGUUGUAAACUGCUUUUAUAUGGGAAGAAAAGGCCAUGCGUGGCUCUAUGACGGUACCAUACGAAUAAGCACCGGCUAACUCCG
rnacentral:rRNA from 1 species